UCCAGCUUAGGAAACUAGGAUGCGUCAUGCAAUUAAUCGAGGAGUUAUUCAAUCACUAGGACUGGAUAUUUCCUAACAACUAUAAUGGCGUUGAGCUGCCUGUAGUCAAUGCAAAGGCACCAGGUACCUUCUUUUUUUUUACCAAAAUGACUGGAGAUGAAAAGGGGCUGGUACUCCACUGGAUAACCCCUCAUUGCAGC
rnacentral:lncRNA from 1 species